CGCCCUGUCACCCCAAACCAUCCAGGAAUUCCCUCAGGGUUUCAUUCCCACCCCAAAACGUCCAGGAAUUCUCUCAUUAUUCCAUUCCCACCCCAAACCAUCCAGGAAUUCCCUCAGUGUUUCAUUCCCACCCCAAAUAAACCAGGAAUUCCCUCAUUAUUCCAUUCCCACCCCAAACCAUCCAGGAAUUCCCUCACAGCCCCAUUCACAUCCCAAAACAAUCAGGAAUUCCCUCAGAGUCCCAUUCCCACCCCAAAUAAACCAGGAAUUCUCUCAUUAUUCCAUUCUCACCCCAAAACAUCCAGCAAGUCCCUCAGUGUUCACUUCUCAUCCCAAAAAUCCUGGGAAUUCCCUCAGUGGUUCAUUCCCAUUCCAAAAUGUCCAGGAAUUCCCUCAGUGUUCACUUCUCAUCCCAAAAAAACUGAGAAUUCCCUCAGCAUUCACUCCUCGUCCCAAACCAUCCAGGGAUUCCCUCAGUGUUCCCUCUUCAUAUUAAAAACACCAAUAAUUCCCUCAGUGUCCUCUUCCCACCCCACAAAAUUAAGGAACUUUCUCUGUGUUCCAUUCCCAGCCCAAACCAUCCAGGAAUUCCCAAGUGUGCCAUUCCCAUCCUAUAAAACUCAGCAAUUCCCUCAGUGCCUCAUUUCCAUCCCAAAACAUCCAGAAAUUCCCUCAGGGUUCACUCCUCACCCCAAACCAUCCAGGAAUUCCAUCAGUGCCCCAUUCCCAUCCCAAAAUAUCCAGGAAUUCCAUCAGUGCCCCAUUCCCAUCCCAAAAUAUCCAGGAAUUCCCUCAGUGUCCCGCUCCCAUCCCAAAAAUUCUGAGAAUCCUCUCAGUGUCCCAUUCCCAUCCCACAAAAUCCAGCAAUUCCCUCAGGGUUCACUCCUGAUCCCAAAACAUCCAGGAAUUCCCUCAGUGUCCCAUUCCCAUCCCACACAAACCAGGAAUUCCCUCAGUGUUCCAUUCCUAUCCCAAAAAUCCCAAGAAUUCCCUCAAUGCCCCAUUCCAAUCCCAAAACAUCCAGGAAUUCCAUCAGUGCCCCAUUCUCAUCCCAGAAAACUCAGGAAUCCCCUCAGGGUUCUCUCUUCAUCCCAAAACAUCCAGGAAUUCUCUCAGUGUUUGAAUCCCACCCUAAAACAUCCAAGAAUUCCCUCAGUGUCCCAUUCCCAUCCUAUAAAAGCCAGGAAUUCCCUCAGUGUUCCCUUCCCAUUCCAAAAAUCCCGAGAAUUCCCUCAGUGUCACAUUCCCUUCUUACAGAAACUGUGAAUUCCCUCAGUGCUCCAUUCCCACCCCAAAACACCCAGGAAUAUUUUCAGUGACUCCCUGUCACCCCAAAACACCCAGCAAACAUUCAGCAAUUCUCUUAAGUGUCCUUUUCCCAUCCCAAAAAUCUUGAGAAUUCCCUCAGGGUUCACUCCCCAUCCCAAAACAUCCAAGAAAUCUCUCAGUGCUCCAUUCCCAUCCCAGCAAUCCCCUCAGUGCCCCAUUCCCAUUCCAGAACACCCAGGAAUUCUCUCAGUGUCCCCUCUUCAUCCCAAACCAUCCAGGAAUUCCCUCAGAGUUCCAUUCCCACCCCAAAACACUCAGAAAUUCCCUCAGGCUCCCAAUUCCCAUCCCAAAACAUCCAGGAAUUCCCUCGGUGUUUCAUUUCCAUCCCAAAAAAAUAGGAAUU
ensembl:lncRNA